UACAGAGCCUGCAAGCGUUAUUCGGAUUCACUGGGCGUAAAGGGUGCGCAGGCGGCCGUGUGUGUUAGGUGUGAAAGCCCGGGGCUUAACCUCGGAAUUGCGCCUAAAACUACACGGCUAGAGCAUUGGAGAGGGUAGCGGAAUUCACGGUGUAGCAGUGAAAUGCGUAGAUAUCGUGAGGAACACCAGAGGCGAAGGCGGCUACCUGGACAAUUGCUGACGCUCAGGCACGAAAGCGUGGGGAGCAAAA
rnacentral:rRNA from 1 species